rnacentral:rRNA from 1 species
AUGGCUCAGGACGAACGCUGGCGGCGUGCCUCAUACAUGCAAGUCGAACGAGAAAGUCGCCCGCAAGGGCGGCGAGUAGAGUGGCGAACGGGUGAGUAACACGUGGGUAAUCUACCCUCAAGUUGUGGGAUAACCACUGGAAACGGUGGCUAAUACCCCUAUCGAUCCCCCGGUCUCUGGACUGGGGGAUGAAAGGCGCGCUCCGCAAGGAGAGUGCCGCUCGAGGAUGAGCCCGCGUCCCAUUAGCUAGUUGGUAAGGUAACGGCUUACCAAGGCUACGAUGGGUAGCUGGUCUGAGAGGAUGAUCAGCCACACUGGAACUGAAACACGGUCCAGACUCCUGCGGGAGGCAGCAGUAGGGAAUAUUGGGCAAUGGGCGAAAGCCUGACCCAGCAACGCCGCGUGAGUGAAGAAGGCUUUCGGGUCGUAAAGCUCUGUCGGGUGGGAAGAACAAAGUCCGGGUUUAACUCCGGGCCUUGACCGCCACCGAAGGAAGCACCGGCUAACUCCGUGCCAGCAGCCGCGGUAAUACGGAGGGUGCAAGCGUUGUCCGGAAUCAUUGGGCGUAAAGGGCGUGUAGGCGGCCUUGUAAGUCUGACGUGAAAUCCCUCGGCUCAACCGGGGAAGUGCGUUGGAUACUGCGAGGCUUGAGUGCGGGAGAGGAAGGUGGAAUUCCCAGUGUAGCGGUGAAAUGCGUAGAUAUUGGGAGGAACACCGGUUGCGAAGGCGGCCUUCUGGACCGCCACUGACGCUGAGACGCGAAAGCGUGGGGAGCAAACAGGAUUAGAUACCCUGGUAGUCCACGCUGUAAACGGUGAGCGCUAGGUGUCGGGGGUAUCGACCCCCCCGGCGCCGAAGUUAACACAUUAAGCGCUCCGCCUGGGAAGUACGGUCG